CCCUUAGAUGUUCUGGGCUGCACGCGCGCUACACUGAUGCAUCCAACAAGUUUUUUCCUUGUUCGAGAGGACUAGGUAAUCUUUUGAGAAUGCAUCGUGAUGGGGAUAGAUUAUUGCAAUUAUUAAUCUUCAACGAGGAAUUCCUAGUAAGCGCGAGUCAUCAGCUCGUGCUGAUUACGUCCCUGCCCUUUGUACACACCGCCCGUCGCUGCAACUGAUUGGGUGACCGGGUGAACAUCUUGGACCGGUCCACUCAAUUUCGAGAGGACUGGAAAAGGCCGUAAAUCAGGUACAUCUAGAAAUUGCAAAAGUCGUAACA
rnacentral:rRNA from 1 species